UACGAAGGGGGCUAGCGUUGUUCGGAAUCACUGGGCGUAAAGGGCGCGUAGGCGGACUCUUAAGUCGGGGGUGAAAGCCCAGGGCUCAACCCUGGAAUUGCCUUCGAUACUGAGAGUCUUGAGUUCGGAAGAGGUUGGUGGAACUGCGAGUGUAGAGGUGAAAUUCGUAGAUAUUCGGAAGAACACCAGUGGCGAAGGCGACUUACUGGACACAUAUUGACGCUGAGGUGCGAAAGCGUGGGGAGCAAACAGG
rnacentral:rRNA from 1 species